rnacentral:rRNA from 1 species
GGUACCGUCAACCAAUCGAGGUAUUAACUCGACUAACAUUCUUCCCUCUCGACAGAGGUUUACGACCCGAAGGCCUUCAUCCCUUACGCGGCGUUGCUGGGUCAGGCUUUCGCCCAUUGCCCAAAAUUCCCGA